rnacentral:rRNA from 1 species
AUGCACCAGAAGCAUCCCAUUUCAGCGAUCACAGACGGCUACGUUUCAAUGGCCAAAGCCAUAUCAUCAGUCUGGCCUAGCACAUAUCACCGUCUGUGCAGCUGGCAUAUCGAGCAGAAUAUGGUGCUUCACCUCCGAAAGGAAAAGCUUAAGGAAUUUAGGAAAUUUAUUUACUAUGCCAUGGAGGUUCAUGAGUUUGAGAGACGCUGGUUGGCUUAUAAGAAGAGAUUCAGAAUCACAAGGAAAAAGAAAGAUGCAUGGAUUCACAGGAUGUACGAGCUGAGAGAAAAGUGGUCUGUAGCAUAUAACAAGGGAAGGUAUUUCCUAGGGAUGUUGAGCAAUCAGAGGAGUGAGUCUCUAAACUCGAGGCUUCAUGUGCACCUGAAUAGGAGAAUGAAACUCGUUGAUCUCGUGCAACACGUUGAACACUGUGUGUCAGUUUUGCGUAGGAAUGAAGCAGCAUUGGACGACGUAGCUUCGCACACAAUCUCCUUCACUAGAUUGACUGCCGAUCCACUUGAGAUAAGUGCCUCAUCUAUUUAUACCCCUGUUAUGUUCAGUAAGGUAAAGGACGAGAUUGUCAACUUAUCAAGAUGGAAUGUUCUUGAGGUGGAAGAGGACACUGGUUUGGUUAGCUAUGGAGUUGCUCGCAAAGAGUCGGUGCACGUUAGGUUCCAUGUCACAUGUAUUUUUGAUGGAUCUAAGAUGGAAAGUGCAUAUUGUGGAUGUAGGAAGAUGGAAAGCGAGGAUUUUCCAUGUGCUCAUAUAUUUUGCGUUUUGAAGUAG